CCUACGGGGGGCAGCAGUGAGGAAUAUUGGUCAAUGGACGAAAGUCUGAACCAGCCAAGUAGCGUGAAGGAUGACUGCCCUAUGGGUUGUAAACUUCUUUUAUAUGGGAAUAAAACAGGGUAUGCAUACCCUCUUUUAUGUACCAUAUGAAUAAGGAUCGGCUAACACCGUGACAGCAGCCGCGGUAAUACGGAGGAUCCGAGCGUUAUCCGGAUUUAUUGGGUUUAAAGGGAGCGUAGGGGGGUUGUUAAGUCAAUUGUGAAAGUUUGCGGCUCAACCGUAAAAUUGCAGUUGAAACUGGCAGUCUUGAGUACAGUAGAGGUGGGCGGAAUUCGUGGUGUAGCGGUGAAAUGCUUAGAUAUCACGAAGAACUCCGAUUGCGAAGGCAGCUCACUGGACUGCAACUGACACUGAUGCUCGAAAGUGUGGGUAUCAAACAGGAUUAGAUACCCGGGUAGUC
rnacentral:rRNA from 1 species